rnacentral:rRNA from 1 species
UACGGAGGAUCCGAGCGUUAUCCGGAUUUAUUGGGUUUAAAGGGUGCGUAGGUGGCCUGUUUAGUCAGGGGUGAAAGACGGUAGCUCAACUAUCGCAGUGCCCUUGAUACUGAUGGGCUUGAAUGAACUAGAGGUAGGCGGAAUGUGACAAGUAGCGGUGAAAUGCAUAGAUAUGUCACAGAACACCAAUUGCGAAGGCAGCUUACUAUGGUUUUAUUGACACUGAGGCACGAAAGCGUGGGGAUCAAACAGG